AAAGAAACUAACAAGGAUUUUCUUAGUAGCGGCGAGCGAAAAGAAAUCAGUUCAGCACUAAGUCACUUUGUCUAUAUGGCAAAUGUGAGAUGCAGUGUAUGGAACAUCAAUAUUCUAGUAUGAGAAAUUAACGAUUUAAGUCCUUCUUAAAUGAGGCCAUUUACCCAUAGAGGGUGCCAGGCCCGUAUAACGUUAAUGAUUACUAGAUGGUGUUUCCAAAGAGUCGUGUUGCUUGAUAGUGCAGCACUAAGUGGGUGGUAAACUCCAUCUAAAACUAAAUAUAACCAUGAGACCGAUAGUAAACAAGUACCGUGAGGGAAAGUUGAAAAGAACUCUGAAUAGAGAGUUAAAUAGUACGUGAAACUGCUUAGAGGUUAAGCCCGAUGAACCUGAAUAUCCAUUAUGGAAAAUUCAUCAUUAGAGUUGUAAUAUUUAAACAAUAUUAUAAUGAUAGUGUGCAUUUUUUCCAUAUAAGGACAUUGUAAUCUAUUAGCAUACAAAAUUUAUCAUAAAAUUGUGACUUAUUGUUUAUUUUAAUUAUUAUGCUUGCAUUUUAACAUAAAAUAAAUGUUGCAAAUUUGAUAAAGUGCUGAUAGAUUUAUAUGAAUACAGUGUGUUAAUUUUUCGAAAUUAUAUAAUGGCAUGAUUAUCAUUGAUUUUUAUGUUUAUUAUAGGCACUUGUAUGAUUAACAAUGCGAAAGAUUCAGGAUACCUUCGGGACCCGUCUUGAAACACGGACCAAGGAGUCUAACAUAUGUGCAAGUUAUUGGGAUAUAAACCUAAUAGCGUAAUUAACUUGACUAUUAAUGGGAUUAGUUUUUUAACUAUUUAUAGUUAAUUAACACAAUCCCGGGGCG
rnacentral:rRNA from 1 species